rnacentral:rRNA from 1 species
AUACGGAGGAUCCGAGCGUUAUCCGGAUUUAUUGGGUUUAAAGGGUGCGUAGGUGGAUUGGUCAGUCAGUGGUGAAAGUUUGCAGCUUAACUGUAAAAUUGCCGUUGAAACUGCCGGUCUUGAGUGCAAAUGAGGUAAGCGGAAUGUGUUGUGUAGCGGUGAAAUGCUUAGAUAUGACACAGAACACCGAUUGCGAAGGCAGCUUACUGGGAUGCAACUGACACUGAGGCACGAAGGCGUGGGGAUCAAACAGGAUUAGAUACCCUGGUAGUCCGCGCAGUAAACGAUGAAUACUAGUUGUCUGCGAUAUAUUGUAGGUGACACAGCGAAAGCGUUAAGUAUUCCACCUGGGGAGUACGUUCGCAAGAAUGAAACUCAAAGGAAUUGACGGGG